rnacentral:lncRNA from 1 species
AUGAAAGUACUGCACUCAAUAUGUCAGCAAAUUUGGAAAAGGUCAGUUUUCAUUCCAAUCCCAAAGAAAGGCAAUGCCAAAGAAUGCUCAAACUACCACACAACUGCACUCAUCUCACAUGCUAGUAAAGUAAUGCUCAAAAUUCUCCAAGCCAGGCUUCAGCAAUACAUGAACCAUGAACUUCCUGAUGUUCAAGCUGGUUUUAGAAAAGGCAGAGGAACCAGAGAUCAAAUUGCCAACAUCCACUGGAUCAUCAAAAAAGCAAGAGAAUUCCAGAAAAACCUCUAUUUCUGCUUUAUUGACUAUGCCAAAGCCUUUGACUGUGUGGAUCACAGUAAACUGUGGAAAAUUCUGAAAGAGAUGGGAAUACCAGACCACCUGACCUGCCUCUUGAGAAAUCUGUAUGCAGGUCAGGAAGCAUCAGUUAGAAGUGGACAUGGAACAACAGACUGGUUCCAAAUAGAGAAAGCAGUACAUCAAGGCUGUAUAUUGUCGCCCUGCUUAUUUAACUUCUAUGCAGAGUACAUCAUGAGAAACGUUGGGCUGGAGGAAGCACAAGCUGGAAUCAAGAUUGCUGGGAGAAAUAUCAGUAACCUCAGAUAUGCAGAUGACACCACCCUUAUGGCAGAAAGUGAAGAAGAACUAAAGAGCCUCUUGAUGAAAGUGAAAGAGGAGAGUGAAAAAGUUGGCUUAAAGCUCAACAUUCAGAAAACGAAGAUCAUGGCAUCCGGUCCCAUCGUUUCAUGGCAAAUAGAUGGGGAAACAGUGGAAACAGUGGCUGACUUUAUUUUUUGGGGCUCCAAGAUUGCUGCAGAUGGUGACUGCAGCCAUGAAAUUAAAAGACGCUUACUCCUUGGAAGGAAAGUUAUGACCAACCUAGAUAGCAUAUUGAAAAGCAGAGACAUUACUUUGCCAACAAAGGUUCAUCUAGUCAAGGCUAUGGUUUUUCCAGUGGUCAUGUAUGGAUGUGAGAGUUGGACUAUAAAGAAAGCUGAGCACAGAAGAAUGGAUGUUUUUGGAACUGUGGUGUUGGAGAAGACUCUUGAGAGUUCCUUGGACUGCAAGGAGAUCCAAUCAGCCCAUCCUAAAGGAGAUCAGUCCUGGGUGUUCAUUGGAAGGACUGAUGUUGAAGCUGAAACUCCAAUACUUUGGCUACCUGAUGCUAAGACCUGA